UGACAGAAAUGAGUCAGUGCCUUAUGCUGGCAAAAGGUUCAAGAAGCACCUUCAUGACAACCCAGAUAACAGAUGCAACUUUUGUCUUACCAAGGCCAAACCUGACUACUGGACUGCAGUAUUCCAACGAAAGCAAAAUGAACAAACACAGCAGGAAGUUUUGAAUGACAUAGCAGCCGCAGGGUUAAGUAACCUUCUCCAAAACCAGCCACCUAAACAUGAGGGAUCAGAGGAAUGCAGCAUUUCCAUUCAGCUCCAGAAGUUAUCCUGUGGUCAUCUGGUUCUUCAGAGGGAAACCCAAACUCUGGGCAAGUGGCUUUACAGUUUAAGCCACAAUCAAAGUCAAUUUGCUGCAGGUUGAACUUUUAGAAGAGGAGAAUGCAAAAAUCUCCUCAAGCUGACCAUCUCCUCCCAAAAUCCUCUUUAACACAGUGUGAAUAGGCAGUUCCCUCCUGUGGAGGCUGGAUGAGCUCCCAGGUGAAUGCUGGCAGCCCUUCCCCUGCAGCACAGUGUGGGUACAGUGCCAGGACAUGGCAGGACCACAAACCCUCAACAGCUGCAGCUCUGCUGGAGAAAGGGCCAAAAACGCAGCAGAGCACAAGGAAACAACUGCUGCUCAGUGAUUCUGAAUCGUUUUCAAAAGCUGGGAGAGAAGCCCUGUCACCCAUAACUGCGUCACUGAGUCCCCAAAGCAGCCUCCAGCUCACCUGUUCUCACUUGUUCCAAGGGUUAUCACCUUCCCCCCCCAAAACAGCCCAGAGCUUUGUGUGCCCAACAUGCCCGUGGGCACUAAGGACCAACCACUGAAUGAGGCAGCAAUGGAAGGGGAGGAGGCCACGGUGCCUCACCUCAGUUCUCAUCAGAGGACCUCAGCAGACAUGCACCUGAUGACUCCAACCACUCCAGGACAAGAAACAUCAUUAUCAGGGAGAGAGCUAACAGAAAGUAGGGAUCCUGAUACAGGAACACAAGGUGGUCAGUCUUCAGUUCAACCUCUGCAUUCCUUGGGAGAGCUGCUAGGAUAACUUUCCAGCAAGGUGGUACAAAGCAGGCUGCAAUCAAAAUUCCUCACCUCUGGAAACAGAACAAAGCUGGUCUGGAAGGGCCAGGUAUCACCAAUGGUGUUUUUUAAGACUUUGUGGAGAGCAGGAAAUAAAACAUUUUUGGAGAACAGUAAUGAAACAAACACAUUUCCUCAUUCAGCCUUGAUCCUCAAGUCCUUGCACCUGCAUCUAUCAGCAUUAAACUCCAUCAGAAAGCGUGGGAA